GACGAACGCUGGCGGCGUGCUUAACACAUGCAAGUCGAACGAAGUGGCGAACGGGUGAGUAACGCGUAAUCAACCUGCCCUUCAGAGGGGGACAACAGUUGGAAACGACUGCUAAUACCGCAUACUGAAGGAGGGGAUUGCGUCGGAUUAGCUUGUUGGAGGGGUAACGGGCCACCAAGGCGAUGAUCAGUAAGAGGUCUGGAGAGAUGAACGGCCACAAUGGGACUGAGACACGGGCCAGGCUCCUACGGGAGGCAGCAGUGGGGAAAUAUCCGCAAUGGACGAAAGUCUGACGGAGCAACGCCGGGUGAGUGAUGACGGCCUUCGGGUUUUAAAGCUCUGUUAAUCGGGACGCGGUACCGGAAUAGAAAGCCACGGCUAACUACGUGCCAGCAGACGCGGUAAUUC
rnacentral:rRNA from 1 species